rnacentral:rRNA from 1 species
UGCGCUACCUGGUUGAUCCUGCCAAGGAAGCACACUUCGGUCAUAGAUUAAGCCAUGCAAGUGUUAGUUCCGAGUCAUCUAAACUGCGCACAGCUCAUUAACACGCCCAUAACCAACUCAGCAGCGGUCUUCGGACUUUCUAUGGAUAGCAGGAGUAAUUCUCGUGCUAAUACACGCUAUUGUUCCAGGAGAUAGGAGAGAUUCUGGAAAAGUUCACCCUUUGGGGGAAGCCGAAUGGAUGGGCGGCCUAUCAGCUAGUAAUUAGGGUCUUUACCUAGUUAGACUAUGACGGGUAUCGGGCGGUGACCGUUGUACUGCCGGAGAAGGGGCCUGAGAGAUAGCCACUAUGCCUACGGGGAGCAGCAGGCGCGAAACUUACCCAAUCGAAGAUCUCGGAGGUGGUGAUGACCAGUUCCAAUGUAAGACACCGUUUUACAGGGAUGGGACGUGAUACAAUAGGGUUGCGUGUAGUGUAAUUGAGGGCCAGUCUGGUGCCAGCAGCUGCGGUAAUUCCAGCUCAAUUAGUGUGCUCCCAUCUUGUUGCAGUUACAACGCCCGUAGUCUGAGUUCAAAUUUUUGGUGAUUGUUGAAAGGUCUCUAUGAAGAAAGCAAGACGCUUAGGGUAAGGAUCUGUGAAUGAGCUAGCGUAGUAAGACGAGUUUGUACUUCAGUGUUCAAGGUCAAGGAGAGUCGUUAGGGAUACUUAUAUUUAGUGACGAGCGGUGGAAUGCGUUGACUCAUUAGAGAUGAGCUAUAGCGAAAGCAGGUAUCAGGGAGAUCUCUGUCGAUCAAGGGCGAGAGUAGGUGUAUCAAACCGGAUUAGAGACCCGGGUAGUACCUACUGUAAACUAUGUCGACGAAGGUUUGCGAAGUAGCGCAGGACUUUAGAGAAAUCAAGUUUUGGGACUCUAGGGGAACUACGGCCGCAAGACUGAAACUUGAAAGAAUUGACGGAAGGGCACACCAGGGGUGGAGCCUGUGGCUUAAUUUGAAUCAACACGAGGAAACUUACCAGUACCAGAUGAUUUGGAUGAGAGACUGUCUGGAGGGCAUUCCCGAUUAGUUUUUUGGUGGUGCAUGGCCGUUGGUGGUGCGUGGGUUGUCCUGUCUGUUGGUCGAUUCAGCUAACGAGCGAGACUAUCAUUGGUUAUUACAGGGCUUUAGAUUUUUAGAGUCCGUGUUUAACCGAGACUGCCUGUGCAUUAACGGGAUGAGGUUGGUAGCAAUAACAGGUCCGUGAUGUCCUUUAGAUGCGCUGGGCUGCACGCGUGCUACAAUGAGGAUGGCAGUGUGUUUUUGAGAACACGAUAGUGUUGAGUACUCAAUAAUUGUUCUAGUGGUUGGGAUCGAUGAUUGUAAUUAUCAUUGUGAACGAGGAAUCCCUUGUAAACGAGUGUCAACAUCGCACGUUGAAUAAGUCCCUGCCCUUUGUACACACCGCCCGUCGCUCCUACCGAUUGAAUGAGUUGGUGAAAUUAUUGGAGUCUGUUUGACGAAAGUAAUUAAACCCAUUUAUUUAGAGGAAGGAGAAGUCGUAACAAGGUAACGGUAGGUGAACCUGCAGAAGGAUCAA